rnacentral:pre_miRNA from 1 species
GUACAAACCACCUGGGGAUCCAGUUAAAAUGCAGGUUCUAAUAUAAUUGGUCUGGAGGUGGGAACUGAGAAUCCACAUUUCUAAUAAACUCCCAGGUGAUACUGAA